UACAGAGGGUGCAAGCGUUAAUCGGAAUUACUGGGCGUAAAGCGCGCGUAGGCGGUCUUGUAUGUCGAUUGUGAAAUCCCCGGGCUCAACCCGGGAACUGCAGUCGAAACUGCAAGACUUGAAUGUUGGAGAGGUUGGGGGAAUACCUAGUGGAGAAGUGAAAUUCGUAGAGAAUUAGGUGGAACACCAGAGGCGAAGGCGCCUGACUGGCCAAACAUUGACGCUAAGGCGCGAAAGCGUGGGUAGCAAACAGGA
rnacentral:rRNA from 1 species